AUUUUUGUGACGUGCGUUAAUGAUUGUUGACUGUUGUGAAGUUUGUUUUAUACUGGAAAAUAGUUCGGAAAGUGUGUGGCGUCCCCUGCCUUACUGCUACACCGGGUCUGAAGAAGAUAUAAAGUGUAUUACAGGAUCAUUAUACCAGCAGAAGUCAGCGAUAUUUGAUCCUGCUCUGGUCUGUGUGCUGGGGCCGGAGGGGCUUCAGAAUAAUUAAAUUUUAAAAUAAAACAAUUUUAAACACUUUGAAAAUAAAUUUUUUUAAACAUA